rnacentral:rRNA from 1 species
AACGAACGCUGGCGGCAUGCCUAACACAUGCAAGUCGAACGAGACCUUCGGGUCUAGUGGCGCACGGGUGCGUAACGCGUGGGAACCUGCCCUUAGGUUCGGAAUAACUCCCCGAAAGGGGUGCUAAUACCGGAUAAUGUCUUCGAACCAAAGAUUUAUCGCCUUUGGAUGGGCCCGCGUUGGAUUAGCUAGUUGGUAGGGUAAAAGCCUACCAAGGCGACGAUCCAUAGCUGGUCUGAGAGGAUGAUCAGCCACACUGGGACUGAGACACGGCCCAGACUCCUACGGGAUGGAGCAGUGGGGAAUAUUGGACCAUGGGCGGAAUGCUGAACCAGCCAUGCCCCGUGAGUGAUGAAAGCCUUAGGGUUGUAAAGCUCUUUUACCCGGGAUGAUAAUGACAGUACCGGGAGAAUAAGCUCCGGCUAACUCCGUG